UACGUAGGAGGCGAGCGUUGUCCGGAGUUACUGGGCGUAAAGGGUGCGCAGGCGGCGGUUCGCGUGGCGAGAUGAAAUCUCCUGGCUUACCUGGGAGGAUGGUCGCCAGACGGGAUCGCUUGAGGGUCGGAGAGGGGCGUGGAAUUCCGGGUGGAGCGGUGAAAUGCGUAGAGAUCCGGAGGAACACCGACGGCGUAGGCAGCGCCCUGGACGACACCUGACGCUGAGAAGCGAAAGCAUGGGGAGCGAACAGG
rnacentral:rRNA from 1 species